CCGAAAUGCAGCGGGUCGAGGCUUGCCUGGGCCCGCGUACAUGCAUUACACCCUUGACUUUGAGAACCGUACGUUUCCUCGGCAGGUUCGCCUGCCAGCGGGGACCCCCAAUAAACCCUUUGCAGCUAAGCAGUGUUUGUCUGAAAUGAUUACACAAAAAUCA
rnacentral:misc_RNA from 1 species